GUAUAAGGUCCUCACAACUGGAUGGAGAGUAGAAAAAGAUUCUGAUAUUUGAUUCAAUUGCACAGCAUGAUCUCCAGCAUCAGCCUCAGCAUCACUUGGAAGCCUGCUAGAAGUGCAGCACGCCAGCUGUGUCCUGGAACUGCUGGAUCAGAAUCUGCAUUUUAUCGAGAUCACCAGAAGAUCUUCCUGACCCAGGGAUUGAAACCGAAUCUUCUGCAUCUCCUGCAUUUCAGAGUUGUGGGGACAUAAUCAAACCACACACGUGGAGCUCUUGGCAUGGCACCAUCUUCAUUGUGGGGGCAAC